rnacentral:rRNA from 1 species
UACGUAGGGUGCAAGCGUUAAUCGGAAUUACUGGGCGUAAAGCGUGCGCAGGCGGUUUUGUAAGUCUGACGUGAAAUCCCCGGGCUCAACCUGGGAAUUGCGUUGGAGACUGCAAGGCUGGAGUCUGGCAGAGGGGGGUAGAAUUCCACGUGUAGCAGUGAAAUGCGUAGAGAUGUGGAGGAACACCGAUGGCGCAAGGCAGCCCCCUGGGUCAAGACUGACGCUCAUGCACGAAAGGCGUGGGGAGCAAACAGGAU